GAUGAACGCUGGCGGCGUGCCUAAUACAUGCAAGUCGAGCGAACAGACGAGGAGCUUGCUCCUCUGACGUUAGCGGCGGACGGGUGAGUAACACGUGGAUAACCUACCUAUAAGACUGGGAUAACUUCGGGAAACCGGAGCUAAUACCGGAUAAUAUAUUGAACCGCAUGGUUCAAUAGUGAAAGACGGUUUUGCUGUCACUUAUAGAUGGAUCCGCGCCGCAUUAGCUAGUUGGUAAGGUAACGGCUUACCAAGGCAACGAUGCGUAGCCGACCUGAGAGGGUGAUCGGCCACACUGGAACUGAGACACGGUCCAGACUCCUACGGGAGGCAGCAGUAGGGAAUCUUCCGCAAUGGGCGAAAGCCUGACGGAGCAACGCCGCGUAAGUGAUGAAGGUCUUCGGAUCGUAAAACUCUGUUAUUAGGGAAGAACAAAUGUGUAAGUAACUAUGCACGUCCUGACGGUACCUAAUCAGAAAGCCACGGCUAACUACGUG
rnacentral:rRNA from 1 species